UCAGAUAUGGUGUAACGGUAACACUGGCCUCAUCUAUUGUCGAGGCCGUCCCAGGUUCGACUCCCGGUAUCUGAC